rnacentral:rRNA from 1 species
CCUACGGGUGGCAGCAGUGAGGAAUAUUGGUCAAUGGGCGAGAGCCUGAACCAGCCAAGUCGCGUGAGGGAAGAAGGUUCUAUGGAUUGUAAACCUCUUUUGCCGGGGAGCAAAAAGCGGUACGUGUACCGCAUCGCGAGUACCCGGAGAAAAAGCAUCGGCUAACUCCGUGCCAGCAGCCGCGGUAAUACGGAGGAUGCGAGCGUUAUCCGGAUUUAUUGGGUUUAAAGGGUGCGUAGGCGGCGAGUUAAGUCAGCGGUAAAAUUUCGGGGCUCAACCCCGACAAGCCGUUGAAACUGGCGGGCUAGAGUGGGCGUGAGGUAUGCGGAAUGCGUGGUGUAGCGGUGAAAUGCAUAGAUAUCACGCAGAACUCCGAUUGCGAAGGCAGCAUACCGGCGCCCAACUGACGCUCAGGCACGAAAGCGUGGGUAUCGAACAGGAUUAGAUACCCGAGUAGUC